UUAUUUCUCGGUUCGAGUCCGCCAUGACGUCACUUUUUGGGGGUAUUCUGCGUUCGAAACGGCCUUCCCGGCGCUGGUGGCCCUCAAACACUGCGGACGCAAACGCGCUUCGAUGGUGCUCCGUGGUGUGCUGUAUGAUGCUGUCCGUUAUUUCAAAGUAGGGCCAGUUGUUUUAGUUGCUAUUAUUAUCGUUCGGUCGUGUUUAAAAUUACCGGUUUGCACAUCGCCUACCCAUUCAUACGUGUUCUCACACUUUAUUCUUGGUGUGAUUUACGCUUGACGAUGGGAAAAACUGAACGUAAACCACGUUCAAAAAGGCGAUACACAUUUAACCACAAAACGAUGGGAUAAUGUUUGUCGUAUUGGUGACGGCGCCAACGCCUUCAGUCGUACACCUUCUGGGGCCCAACAAGCGGUUUGUGUCAUCCCGACCUAAAACACGUUUCACGUGCUGACGCGUCGUCAUUACCGGUCGAGUUGGCAGGAGAGUAGCAUGACGCGUAUGGCUAGGGUGAAACAUUCAAACCACAACAGAACACUGCUUAAGCUUAGCUGAUAAGAAGCGAGGUGAGUGAGAUGUGUGUAAAAUAGACGCAAUGUCUAACCGGUUUGAGUCAGUUUCAGUUUUUGUCAUUUUUUCUACUCGUUGUUUCAUCAUCAUGCGGUAAUUGUUGUACCAGAUUUAUG